rnacentral:rRNA from 1 species
UACGUAGGGUGCGAGCGUUAAUCGGAAUUACUGGGCGUAAAGUGUGCGCAGGCGGCCAUGCAAGUCGAGUGUGAAAGCCCCGAGCUUAACUUGGGAAUUGCGCUCGAAACUACGUGGCUGGAGUGUGGCAGAGGAAGGUGGAAUUCCACGUGUAGCGGUGAAAUGCGUAGAGAUGUGGAGGAACACCAAUGGCGAAGGCAGCCUUCUGGGCCAACACUGGCGCUCAUGCACGAAAGCGUGGGGAGCAAACAGG